AUGAUUUUUGGCAACCUCACACCCUGCCCCCGAUGGUUGGUGGGGUUUUUUUCGGGGAAGGAGGGGGGGGUACAAAAGGAAGUCUUGCCGCAUACUUUUCUGUUAGAAAAUGGUUUUUCUUACAUACAGAUACACGGCCUCGCUUGAUUGAGGUGAACCAGAAAACAUGAAACUUUUUAAAAAACACAGAGUACUUACUGGAGCUUUAAUUCGGACACAUGAAAAAAAAAUACUGUUUUCUAAUUUAAAAUAAUAACAUCCACAAGUGUCUUAUAUUGCUUGAAAGAAGAUUGAUAAAACAAUUUUGAUGAAGUAAGAUGGGUGAAAAACUAAUGAAAGAUGAACAAGUUACCUUAGUGUUCAUAUAUGGCAGUGGUUCCCAAACUUUUUAGAGACGCGACCCACUAUUUAUGACACCAGUUUAUGGCGACCCACUUAACUCUAUUGGGUAAAAACAUUAAUGAAAGAAACAAAUUUAUUUCAGAUUACAUUUUCGUUGAGGCCUGUGAGAAGGAUGAGCCUGUUUCUUGCUUCGCUCGAUAAUAGAAUUAACAUCAGGUUCAAUGCGUGAUGCAUCGUGGUCAUGGAUCUUCUUCAACACCAUUCCAUGUAAAUCCCAUUUUUAAGUACUCGUAAUCAUACUUUCUCAAUACUUUUCUUCGCUUUGACUGGACUUUUCUUCGUUUCAAUUCACUGAAGACUCGUCGUCAUCAACUUCAACUGACUUUUUUAACCAUUUAUCCAUAAAAUAAAGGACUGAGUAAAUACGAAAAAAUCGAAUUUAGAAAGAUAGACAAUUUUGACUUACCGAUAAAUUUGACAGAAUUAAAGUACAACGCUUGAGAUCAUGCGUCACUCUAUAAUUAAUAAUAAGCGUCGUUUCAAUCGAUAUGCUGCUAUUCAAACCAUUUAUCAGAUAGACUCUAUUGAUCCAUCUACCGUCUAGCUGCUGUCUAUUCCAAUCAUUUCAUUGGCUAAUUAAUAGCCUCCUGGUGAUCACUCCUAUACUUUUUUGAAUAAUUUAUAAACUUAUUAGUGAAAUCCAUACUGUCUUAUUUAUUUAAAUUCUUUACUAUUUAUAUUAGAUGUGAAACAAAACGUUUUAUAACUGUUUCAACGUCUCCAUACCCUAUGGGCAGGUAUUAACUCUAAUACAAAACCUCGAAGCAGUAACUGUUAUCGGCUUGAUCAGUGUUGUACUGCGCCUAGUUAAAGUUCUCUAUAAAUAGGUAAGAACAGACUUUUCCUUUUUACGAAUACGUACGAAUAAAUAACUUGAGAAAAUGACCACCUCUGAUUUGUUAAGUUCGUGAAAAAAGUCUACUGCUUGAUAAAACAACCAGUCUGGUAUUGAAAACAUGAGUCUUGAACUAUCUUGAUAGACAGCAGUUAAUCAAAGCUAAUGCGUA